rnacentral:sRNA from 1 species
CGGAGGGAUCAUUACAGAGUUCAUGCCCUCCGGGUAGAUCUCCCACCCACUGCUAUCACUACUCUCGUUGCUUUGGCGGGCCGCUGGGCCCUGCCCGGCCGCCGGCCCCGGCUGGCGCGUGCCCGCCAGAGACCUCACAGACUCUGAAUGUUAGUGUCGUCCGAGUAACUAUACAAUCGUUAAAACUUUCAACAACGGAUCUCUUGGUUCUGGCAUCGAUGAAGAACGCAGCGAAAUGCGAUAAGUAAUGCGAAUUGCAGAAUUCAGUGAGUCAUCGAAUCUUUGAACGCACAUUGCGCCCUGUGGUAUUCCGCAGGGCAUGCCUGUUCGAGCGUCAUUUCAACCCUCAAGCCUCGCUUGGUGUUGGGCCCUGCCCGCCGCGGCCGGCCCUAAAGAUAGUGGCGGCGCCACCUGGCCCUCAGCGUAGUACAGCUCUCGCUCCAGGGUCCGGCGGCAGCCUGCCAGAACCCCCCAACUCUGUGGUUGACCUCGGAUCAGGUAGGGAUACCCGCUGAACUUAAGCAUAUCAAUAAGCGGA